CAGUCGAGCGAGGUUUAAGUAGCUUGCUACUUAGACCUAGCGGCGGACGGGUGCGUAACGCGUGGGCAACCUACCCUAUACAUCGGAAUAACUCAUCGAAAGGUGGGCUAAUGCCGAAUACCUCCUUUAUAUCGAUUGUUAUUUAGGAGAAAGCUUUUGCGGUAUAGGAUGGGCCCGCGUCUGAUUAGCUAGUUGGUGAGGUAACGGCUCACCAAGGCGACGAUCAGUAGCCGACCUGAGAGGGUGAUCGGCCACAUUGGAACUGAGACACGGUCCAAACUCCUACGGGAGGCAGCAGUGGGGAAUAUUGCACAAUGGGGGAAACCCUGAUGCAGCAACGCCGCGUGAGCGAUGAAGGCCUUCGGGUCGUAAAGCUCUUUUCUAAGGGAAGAAUUCUUGACGGUACCUUAGGAAUAAGCCCCGGCUAACUACGUGCCAGCAGCCGCGGUAAUACGUAUGUCGCAAGCGUUAUCCGGAUUUAUUGGGCGUAAAGCGCGUCUAGGUGGUUUGGUAAGUCUGAUGUGAAAAUGCGGGGCUCAACUCCGUAUUGCGUUGGAAACUGUCAAACUAGAGUACUGGAGAGGUGGGCGGAACUACAAGUGUAGAGGUGAAAUUCGUAGAUAUUUGUAGGAAUGCCGAUGGAGAAGUCAGCCCACUGGACAGAUACUGACGCUGAAGCGCGAAAGCGUGGGUAGCAAACAGGAUUAGAUACCCUGGUAGUCCACGCUGUAAACGAUGAUUACUAGGUGUUGGGGGUCG
rnacentral:rRNA from 1 species